rnacentral:sRNA from 1 species
AUUUGUUGUGGACAGAUAUAAUGAAUAUGUGCAUCUAUUCCACCAGCAGUUACUAUUAACCCUUCUGCAGCAAUUACCUCAGUACUAGGCCCAACAAUCAUAUCCGGAUGUACUUGGGGCAUAAUAUGCGGAUUCCCACCUUUACCAAUAGCUACAAUAUUUCCGUCUUUAAUUCCUAUAUCUGCUUUUAUAAUUCCGGAAUGAUCUAUAAUUAAUGCAUUGGUUACAAUGGUAUCUAAACAAUCUUUACGAGUUACGUUAGAGGCUUGCCCCAUUCCGU